GGAGGUAUAGCUCAAGUGGUAGAGCACAUGCUUAGCAUGCAUGAGGUCCUGGAUUUGAUCCCGGUACCUCCU
rnacentral:tRNA from 1 species